rnacentral:rRNA from 1 species
AUUGAACGCUGGCGGCAGGCCUAACACAUGCGAGUCGAGCGGAUGAAGGGAGCUUGCUCCUGGAUUCAGCGGCGGACGGGUGAGUAAUGCCUAGGAAUCUGCCUGGUAGUGGGGGAUAACGUCCGGAAACGGGCGCUAAUACCGCAUACGUCCUGAGGGAGAAAGUGGGGGAGCUUCGGACCUCACGCUAUCAGAUGAGCCUAGGUCGGAUUAGCUAGUUGGUGGGGUAAAGGCCUACCAAGGCGACGAUCCGUAACUGGUCUGAGAGGAUGAUCAGUCACACUGGAACUGAGACACGGUCCAGACUCCUACGGGAGGCAGCAGUGGGGAAUAUUGGACAAUGGGCGAAAGCCUGAUCCAGCCAUGCCGCGUGUGUGAAGAAGGUCUUCGGAUUGUAAAGCACUUUAAGUUGGGAGGAAGGGCAGUAAGUUAAUACCUUGCUGUUUUGACGUUACCAACAGAAUAAGCACCGGCUAACUUCGUG